UGCAACCAAUGAUGAAAUCUGUUUAAUGGUUAUGAUUUUCCUGUGAUUAUUUUACAAAAUAUCACCAUCUUUCGGCUGAGGUUGCA